rnacentral:tRNA from 1 species
GGAGGGGUGGCAGAGAGGCUGAUUGCACCCCGUUGCUAGCGGGGCAGACCUCGCAAGGGGUCUCGGGGGUUCAAAUCCCUCCCCCUCCGCCA